rnacentral:piRNA from 1 species
UACUUAGAGACAGUAGACACA